GCGUUCGUAGCUUAAUGGAUAGAGCGUCGGCUUCCGGAGCCGUUGGUUUCGGUUCAAAUCCGAACGAGCGCU
rnacentral:tRNA from 1 species